rnacentral:rRNA from 1 species
AGCAUAUCAAUAAGCGGAGGAAAAGAAACUAACAAGGAUUCCCUUAGUAGCGGCGAGCGAAGCGGGAAAAGCCCAUAACCGAAUCCUAAUGGUCUUUGGCCGUUGGGAAAUGUGGUGUUUGGUUCAAGACUUACGGCGCAUUGGAGUUGUCCUAAGUCCACAUGAUUGUGGCACAUACCCAGAGAGGGUGUAAGGCCCGUGAGGACAAUACAGUGUGUUCAAACAGUCUGGUUCCUAGAGUCGGGUUGUUUGGGAUUGCAGCCCUAAGCGGGUGGUAAGCUCCAUCCAAGGCUAAAUAUAACGUGAAUCCGAUAGCGAACAAGUACCAUGAGGGAAAGUUGAAAAGAACUUUGAAGAGAGAGUUCAAUAGUGCGUGAAACCGCUCAGAGGUAAACAGGCAGAGCCGAAGGAGACUGUGAGCAUUCUUGCUUCACUUUAAUUAUGCUUUCAUUUAAGGAGAUCCGUAAGAACUCCCAUGUUGGUGUGUGUUAAAGAGUUGCACUAUUGUUCCUGUCGGCACCACGAUCAGUAGCUAGAGUAGCCUGUCAUAGUGGACAAGGUAGCUUUUCCUUUCGGGGUUAAGAACUUAUAGGUCUAUUGUACAGCGCUACUCGAAUACUGAGCAAGUGCGAUGCAAGCUAUGAUGGCGUUCACGAUGUGUCAGGUUGACGGUGCUCUAUAGUGGCUUGUUAAAUAGAAGGCGCUGUGGAGUUUCUGUUAACAGGAUGUGUCCUCUGUGCGUUGUCGCAUCAAUCUGUGGUGAUUAUUUAAGCAAUCUGCCUGACCCGUCUUGAAACACGGACCAAGGAGUUCAACAUGUGCGCGAGUCAUUGGGUUGUACGAAACCUAAAGGCGCAGUGAAAGUAAAGGCUUACUUUUGUAGGCUGAGGUAAGAUGUCAGUUUUAAUGUGCCUUUUGUACAUGAUCUGAUCGCAUUACCAGCUCGUCCCUUGCUUUAUUAAGCGGGGCGACGCAAGAGCGCACACGUUGAGACCCGAAAGAUGGUGAACUAUGCUUGCGUAGGUUGAAGCCAGAGGAAACUCUGGUGGAGGACCGUAGCGAUUCUGACGUGCAAAUCGAUCGUCAAACGUGAGUAUAGGGGCGAAAGACUAAUCGAACCAUCUAGUAGCUGGUUCCCUCCGAAGUUUCCCUCAGGAUAGCUGGCACUCGGGAAACAAACAGUUUUAUCCGGUAAAGCGAAUGAUUAGGAGUAUUGGGGAGAAACACUCCUCAACUCAUUCUCAAACUUUAAAUGGGUGAGAAGCUGAACUCUCUCAAAUGGAGUUUGGCAUUGAAUGUGAGUGCCUAGUGGGCCAUUUUUGGUAAGCAGAACUGGCGCUGUGGGAUGAACCAAACGUCUGGUUAAGGAGCCUAACGGAACGCUCAUGAGAUACCACAAAAGGUGUUGGUUGAUUUAGACAGCAGGACGGUGGCCAUGGAAGUUGGAAUCCGCUAAGGAGUGUGUAACAACUCACCUGCCGAAUCAACCAGCCCUGAAAAUGGAUGGCGCUGGAGCGUUAGUCCUAUACCAGACCGGAACUGUAAGUCGCACGCGAGGAUGCAGUUCCGAGUAGGAGGGCGCUGUGGUGAGCAUUGAAGCUUCGGUCGUGAGACUGGGUGGAGCCGCCACGGGUGCAGAUCUUGGUGGUAGUAGCAAAUAUUCAAGUGAGAACCUUGAAGACUGACGUGGAGAAGGGUUCCAG